ensembl:lncRNA
AUGAUUCACUGGAAUUUAUGCCUCAAGUACCACCUCCCAGCAGCAAAGAACUGGUGGGAUCACAAACCUGCAAAAGUAUUGGAAAAUGAGCACGCAAAGAUACUGUGGGACUUCCGAAUCCAGACUGACAAAGUUCUGGAACACAACACACCAGACAUCACAGUUGUGGAAAAGAAAAAGGUUUGGAUCAUUGAUGUCGCCAUCCCAGGUGACAGUCGCAUUGACGAAAAACAACAGGAAAAACUCAGCCGACUACAAACAGAGGCACAACUAUGUGGCCCAAAUGAUUCAUUGGAACUUAUGCCUCAAGUACCACCUCCCAGCAGUAAAAAACUGGUGGGAUCACAAACCUGCAAAAGUAUUGGAAAAUGAAUCCAGACUGACAAAGUUCUGGAACACAACACACCAGACAUAACAGUUGUGGAAAAGAAAAAGGUUUGGAUCAUUGAUGUUGCCAUCCCAGGUGACAGUCGCAUUGACGAAAAACAACAGGAAAAACUCAGCCGCUAUCAGGACCUCAAGAUUGAACUUCAAAGACUCUGGCAAAAACCAGUGCAGGUGGUCCCGGUGGUGAUGGGCACACUGGGUGCCGUGCCAAAAGAUCUCAGCCGGCAUUUGGAAACAAUAGACAUUGACAAAAAUUACGAUCUGCCAACUGCAAAAGGCCACCCUACUGGGAUCUGCACACAUCAUCCGAAAAUACAUCACAAAGUCCUAGACGCUUGGGAAGUGUUCGACUUUUGAUCUUGUGAUACGAAAUCCAGCAUAUCUAUCUUGUUUGCUGUGUCAUAAAAUAACAACAACAACAACAACAACAACAACAACAACUUUAUUUUAUACCCUGCCAACCAUCUCCCCAAAGGGACUCUAGGUAGCUAGCUUACAAUUGGGACCUAGCCCAGUACAUACAACAAAAUACAGCAACUAAAGCACAGUUAAAAACAUAACAGCGUAUAAACAAUCCAAUUAAAAUACAGCAGGGUAUAAAAUAUCAUUAAAAUUAAACCAAAUCAAACUCAACAACCAGAACCUGGACUAAGGAAUGAUUAGACUAGAGGGGGUUGGGCAUAGAUUUGUACUAACUGUGAAAUGUACUACUUGUGACUGGUCUCUUCUUCCCCUAUUUGAAACAUUUUGGUCCCUGGAUCUGGUUCAUGGAAACUGAGAUACUAGUCCAACACAAGGCCAAGAGCCUGUAUUGCAGAACAUAGUAUAAAAAUCUGUAGAUUGAACUACAUUAGAUCCUACAUCUUCCCUCCAGGAUUCAUUAUUUAGUUACUAAAUGCCCCAUAGCCAUUCAAUUACUGGUAGAGAGCAAGGAGAUCAAAGAAACAUCUGGUAAUGUCCCUGUAGCCAGAUCCAGACUGAUGAUAUUAUCUACCAAAAUUCACCAGGAUCUGUCAGAGAUCUCUGCAGAUUAUGAAAUAUUUCUGUGUUAUUGAGACAUUACCAGACUAUUCUCCAAUUCCCCUACUCCAAGCUUUCCAUCAGCUAUGGCUGUGGAGGAGAGCCUAUCACAAGCAAUUUAGAGACAGAGGAAAAGGACACCAAGCUCCUCAGAAAUCCAAUAAAGAAUAUACAAGUGUACACUCAACUUAGGGUUCGUGGAUGUUAACCAAAAUACAUUUGUAAGUCAACAACUCUGCUCAUCCCCUAUUACUGUUGGAAUUUAUUUAUUUUUUUAAAAAUCAGACAUCCGGGACUAUCAAUUUCAUCACAGCAUACAGAUUGUCAACUAAAAUCAAUAACUUCUUAUCUGUGUGUUGUCAAAGGCUUUCAUGGCCAGAAUCAGUGGGUUGUUGUGAGUUUUCUGGGCUGUAUGGCCAUGUUCAAGAAGCAUUCUCUCGUGACUUUUGCCCACAUCUAUGGCAGGUAUACCUCA